GGGGGUGUGGUGAAAUGGUAUCACAACGGUCUCCAAAACCGUUAUUCCGGGUUCGACUCCUGGCACCCCUG
rnacentral:tRNA from 1 species